GACGAACGCUGGCGGCGUGCUUAACACAUGCAAGUCGAACGGAAAGGCCCCUUUGGGGGUACUCGAGUGGCGAACGGGUGAGUAACACGUGAGUAACCUGCCCUUGACUUCGGGAUAACUUCAGGAAACUGGGGCUAAUACCGGAUAGGAAUCCUUGCUGCAUGGUGGGGGUUGGAAAGCUUCGGCGGUUUUGGAUGGACUCGCGGCUUAUCAGCUUGUUGGUGGGGUAGUGGCUUACCAAGGCUUUGACGGGUAGCCGGCCUGAGAGGGCGACCGGCCACAUUGGGACUGAGAUACGGCCCAGACGCCUACGGGAGGCAGCAGUGGGGAAUAUUGCACAAUGGGCGGAAGCCUGAUGCAGCAACGCCGCGUGCGGGAGGACGGCCUUCGGGUUGUAAACCGCUUUCAGCAGGGGCGAAGCUUGUGGUGACGGUACCUGCAGAAGAAGCACCGGCUAACUACGUG
rnacentral:rRNA from 1 species